AGCGAACGCUGGCGGCAGGCCUAACACAUGCAAGUCGAACGAACCUUUCGGGGUUAGUGGCGGACGGGUGAGUAACACGUGGGAACGUGCCUUUAGGUUCGGAAUAACUCAGGGAAACUUGUGCUAAUACCGAAUGUGCCCUUCGGGGGAAAGAUAAAUCGCCUUUAGAGCGGCCCGCGUCUGAUUAGCUAGUUGGUUGAGGUAAUGGCUCACCAAGGCGACGAUCAGUAGCUGGUCUGAGAGGAUGAUCAGCCACAUUGGGACUGAGACACGGCCCAAACUCCUACGGGAGGCAGCAGUGGGGAAUCUUGCGCAAUGGGCGAAAGCCUGACGCAGCCAUGCCGCGUGAAUGAUGAAGGUCUUAGGAUUGUAAAAUUCUUUCACCGGGGACGAUAAUGACGGUACCCGGAGAAGAAGCCCCGGCUAACUUCGUG
rnacentral:rRNA from 1 species